CAAAUAAUCUUGGUCUAUUCAAAGUUGUGGUAUGUCUACUCUCUCUCUCAAUCAACGCUCUCUGUCUCUGAGUUUCCUUCUCUCUUUCUCUUUAAUGGCCAUUGACGCGAAACUACGAAUCCUACAAUUCCUCCCCUGAUUUGUUUCUGAAUUCUUAGAAGCGAAUCCUGAUAUUGUUUCAAUAUCAUGAAGAUCCUCAAUUUUCGGUAAAUAUCAGGUUGCCUAAUUGCUAUUGAAAUGUGCGGCAGGAAUUAUAGGUUUUUCGAUGAAUUUGACAGAUUAAUGCUGAUUCAAUAUUAUUUGCAAUGCAAUUAGUAUCAAAUGAUAGUCACAAGGAAGAUAUUUCAGAAAGUGAGCCCAUCUUAUGCCAGUCUACCAUUUUGCAUCAUUCUGAAGAAUCAUCAUCUUCAUGUGAAAUUAUAUCUAUAGCACGGGAUUGCGAUGAUUUAGAAGGUGUUCAAAUCGAUGAAACUUACCAUCUAGUUAAUCCAGAUCAACCUCAAUGCCGUAUUUGCCUUGAUACUGCAGGAGAAGACCUAAUUGCACCAUGCCAUUGCAAAGGCACUCAAAAGUAUGUUCAUAGGUCAUGCCUUGAUAACUGGAGGUCAACCAAGGAGGGCUUUGCUUUUGCUCACUGUACAGAGUGCAGGGCAUUGUUUGUAUUACGUGCCAAUGUCCCACCUGACCGCUGGUGGUUGAGAUUGAAAUUUCAGUUCCUUGUUGCGAGGGACCAUGCAUUCAUUUUUGUAGUUGUUCAGCUGAUUGUUGCACUCUUGGGGAUGCUUGUCUACAAGUUCUAUGGGGAGGAGCUCAGAGAAAUGUUUGGCUAUGAAGAACAUCCUUACGGGUUUUAUACAAUGGCUGUUUUAGCUAUUGUUUUGGUGGGUUUGCUCUAUGGUUUCUUCAUUGCCAUUAUAUGUGGACAAAGGAUCAAUGAACGCCAUUACCAUGUCCUUGCCAAACAAGAACUAACAAGGGUCUGGAAUAUGUGGUAGAAGACCGAGAAGCUAGCAAAAAUGUACCUGAACUUGAUGCCAGCCAUGUUACAGAGCUAAGAAUGUUGGGCCUUUAUUAAUUCGGAAUUCUCUGCGGUGUUAUAAUCUCAGUCUUGCAUUCCUUUGGAUGGAGUCUUUUUUGGAUAGUCUACAUGAAUUUGUGCAUCAUGGAGCAACUAAAUUUGGUUCUUAACAAUUUACAUGAGGUAUUGCCUUCAUGUGAUUGGUUUUAUGUUUGGACAUGACAUUUGGACACUGAGCAAAUCGAUGCUGGAAAGUUUGUCCUUGCCUUCACUUGUACAUGGAGAAUCAUGGGCAUCUUCCAAUUUCAAACUACAUAGCCGGAAGUGUUGUUUAUCUUUAGGAAUUCCUAUACCUGUAUUUCAGUCGUUGUGUAUUAAGAAACAGCACCAUAGAGAAAUACUUGUUUAACAUUUGUUUUCUUACGAGAAAAUUAUCCAUACCUUUUUGUUCGUGAGACCUAAAA